rnacentral:tRNA from 1 species
GGUCCCGUAGUGGAGCGGUUUAACACGCCUCGCCUGUCACGCGGAGAUCGCGGGUUCGAUUCCCGUCGGGACCG